ensembl:lncRNA
UGGCACUGUUUUGGCGUCCGGAGGCGCGCUUGAGGGGGCGGGGAUUCCGACCCGCAUGAAUUUGCAUACAUUAUAGAGUGCGUUGCUCGUGCUGACCGAGCUGCCAUUUUUCUCUUUUUGCCUCUUUCAAUGGCUGCAUCAAGUUCAGGUGGACCCUCUAAACCGCAGUACAGGGAUUUGAGGUUCAAACUGCAAAAGUAUCUACAAGGAUGCCAGAGCCUUACUCCUGAUGGCCAGUGGUGAUGAUAACAUAUUAAGCAAUGGCAGAUUCCAGGCACAUAACGGUACCAUUAAUAAGGAGGCAGUUCUAUGAAAGAUUGCUAACAAAGCUUCAUGGAGCUCUACAACGCAGACCUGUAGAUAUGGACUAUUUGCAUUAUGUCAUCACUCAUGAAUUGAGACUUAUACGGUC